CAGCCGCCACGGGAAUACGUAGGGUGCAAGCGUUAAUCGGAAUUACUGGGCGUAAAGCGUGCGCAGGCGGUUAUAUAAGUCAGAUGUGAAAUCCCCGGGCUCAACCUGGGAACUGCAUUUGAGACUGUAUGGCUAGAGUGUGUCAGAGAGGGGUAGAAUUCCACGUGUAGCAGUGAAAUGCGUAGAUAUGUGGAGGAAUACCGAUGGCGAAGGCAGCCCCCUGGGAUAACACUGACGCUCAUGCACGAAAGCGUGGGGAGCAAACAGGAUUAGAUACCCCCGUAGUCCCUGUCUCUUAUAC
rnacentral:rRNA from 1 species